UGAGGAAUAUUGGUCAAUGGACGAGAGUCUGAACCAGCCAAAUCGCGUGAAGGAAGACUGCCCUACGGGUUGUAAACUUCUUUUGUACAGGAAUAAAAGACAUUACGUGUAAUGUAUUGCAUGUACUGUACGAAUAAGCAUCGGCUAACUCCGUGCCAGCAGCCGCGGUAAUACGGAGGAUGCGAGCGUUAUCCGGAUUUAUUGGGUUUAAAGGGUGCGCAGGCGGGAUUUUAAGUCAGCGGUGAAAUUUUCAGGCUCAACCUGAACACUGCCGUUGAAACUGGGAUUCUUGAGUAUGGAUGAAGUAGGCGGAAUUCGUUGUGUAGCGGUGACAUGCUUAGAUAUAACGAGGAACUCCGAUUGCGUAGGCAGCUUACUAAGCCAUAACUGACGCUCAAGCACGAAAGCGUGGGGAUCAAAC
rnacentral:rRNA from 1 species